rnacentral:rRNA from 1 species
CCUACGGGAGGCAGCAGUGGGGAAUAUUGCGCAAUGGGCGAAAGCCUGACGCAGCGACGCCGCGUGAGGGAUGAAGGUCUUCGGAUCGUAAACCUCUGUCAGCAGGGAAGAACGGUCACUGUGCUAAUCAGCAGUGAAUUGACGGUACCUGGGGAGGAAGCUCCGGCUAACUACGUGCCAGCAGCCGCGGUAAUACGUAGGGAGCGAGCGUUGUCCGGAAUUACUGGGUGUAAAGGGAGCGUAGGCGGGGAUGCAAGUUGGGUGUCAAAACUACCGGCUCAACUGGUAGUCGCACUUAAAACUGGAGCUCUUGAGUGAAGUAGAGGCAGGCGGAAUUCCUAGUGUAGCGGUGAAAUGCGUAGAUAUUAGGAGGAACACCAGUGGCGAAGGCGGCCUGCUGGGCUUUUACUGACGCUGAGGCUCGAAAGUGUGGGGAGCAAACAGGAUUAGAUACCCUUGUAGUC